AGAGAGAUGGCUGAGUGGUUGAAAGCGGCGGUCUUGAAAACCGUUGAGGCGGCAACGUCUCCGGGGGUUCGAAUCCCUCUCUCUCUGCUA
rnacentral:tRNA from 3 species